GUUGUCGUGGCAGAGUGGUCAAGGCGACGGACAAGGAAUAUUUUAGGAUCUUCCUGCGCAGGUUCGAAUCCUGCCGACAUCG
rnacentral:tRNA from 1 species